UAGAUUUCUAUCAUGAGACUUAAGCACGGUUUACAAUGUCCGUAACCGUAAACGUAACCGCUUCAGUAGAAAGUUAAAGGAUAUGAAAAACCGUACUAUGGUUUACAACGCUGUCUGCUGGCACUUAGGUUUGUACGGACAGCCAAUCAGAAUGCAGAUUAUAUCCGUCCAUCUCCCCGCCCCCAAGCACACAAAACGAAAGGAAAAAUGAAUCAUUGAAGAUACGACAGCAAGCAAAACAAUGGAAAGCUUCGAUAUGCAAUUAAUUGGACUAGUUGAAAAAGCCCCGUACUUAUAUGAUAAAAGUAGCGGUGAUUAUAAAGAUAGGGUAAAAAAAAACAAUACGUGGUUCCGUAUUGCCCGGGAGUUAAAUAUUUCAAAAGGAAAUGGAAAAAAAAGUAAAAAAAAACAACAAUGAAGAUCCGAUCGAAACGGUGAAAGUUACAUUGAAAACCGUACAGCACUUUUGAGCAACGACCAAGAUACAAAAUCUGAUAUAAAUUGGAAUUUUUGUAUGAUGUUGUACAGUCAAAUAAAAAAAUUAUCAACGAAAAAAAAUAAGAUGGCACGGAGACGCAUACUAGAGCUCAUGGAUGUAAUUGAAAGCGACGAUAGUGAUUCUUGUAUAUUUAAAAAAUUGUUCAUGAUCGUGAUUUUGAAUAAACUUGAAUAGGUU